GAUGAAGAACGCAGUGAAAUGCGAUAAGUAGUGUGAAUUGCAGAAUUCAGUGAAUCAUCGAAUCUUUGAACGCACAUUGCGCCCCUUGGUAUUCUAUGGGGCAUGCCUGUUCGAGCGUCAUUUGUACCUUCAAGCUCUGCUUGGUGUUGGGUGUUUGUCUCGCCUCUGCGUGUAGACUCGCCUCAAAACAAUUGGCAGCCGGCGUAUUGAUUUCGGAGCGCAGUACAUCUCGCGCUUUGCACUCAUAACGACGACGUCCAAAAGUACAUUUUUACACUCUUGACCUCGGAUCAGGUAGGGAUACCCGCUGAACUUAAGCAUAUCAAUAAGCGGAGGA
rnacentral:misc_RNA from 1 species